GACGAACGCUGGCGGCGUGCUUAACACAUGCAAGUCGAACGGAAAGGCCCUGUUUUCGUGGGGUGCUCCAGUGGCGAACGGGUGAGUAACAUGUGAGUAACCUGCCCUUGACUCUGGGAUCACUUCAGGAAACUUGGGCUAAUAGCGGAUAUGACCUCCUGCUGCAUGGUGGGGGUUGGAAAGUUUCGGCGGUUGGGGAUGGACUCGCGGCUUAUCAGCUUGUUGGUGGGGUAGUGGCUUACCAAGGCUCUAACGGGUAGCCGGCCUGAGAGGGGGACCGGCCACAUUGGGAAGGAUCUAAGGGCCGGACUCCUCCGGGAGGCAGCACAGGGGGAUAUUGCACUAUGGGCGGAAGCCUGCUGCAGCAACGCCGCGUGCGGGAUGACAGCCUUCGGGUUGUAAACCGCUUUCGCCUGUGUCGAAGGGUGAGUGACGGUAAUGGGUAAAGAAGCACCGGCUAACUACGUG
rnacentral:rRNA from 1 species